AUACAUGAUUGAGUAGAAAAGGGUGUA
rnacentral:piRNA from 1 species